AGUAUUGUCAUCUGAUAAAGUCAUGCCGAUUAGAAGAUACACAGUUUUUCUCUGCUUUCAAGUCUUUCUGUUUGAACCCGUCGAACUGAAACAAUAAUAUUAAUUAUUUGGAAAACAAAAGGUCAUGGAAUGGAGUAUUUUUUAAUCAACAGCAUAGUCCUAUAUAAGUUAUAAAUAAAGUUGAAUUCUUUGCUUCGCUGUUUUACGUCAUGCCCACC
rnacentral:lncRNA from 1 species